rnacentral:lncRNA from 1 species
GGAGCUGGGGUCCUGGACAGAUGCAGCUGCUUCUAGAGAUGCCUGUGGAAGUAGAACAAGAAGGAAGGAAAUCCCUCGUAUCCCUCUUGGGUAAUGAUGAGCUUUCCCCUGGAGGUGUUGUCUGUGGUUCUUCUGAGACCUCUUCAGAAUGGGUAGUCUCCACACUGGGAGUAGCAUCUUGAAGUAAGCUGCAUUCUUCUGCCAGCAUCUUCCCCUUGCCUUGCAUUGAAUAAACCUAAGGAGACCCAAGAGGACAAGGGAUUCUGGAAACCACCAUCCCUGUGACACUGAACAGGGGAAA